rnacentral:rRNA from 1 species
GACGAACGCUGGCGGCGCGCCUUACGCAUGCAAGUCGAACGGAGCAGUCUUCGGACUGUUCAGUGGCAGACGGGUGAGUAACACGUAAGCGACCUAUCCGUGAGUGGGGAAUAACUCCUCGAAAGGGGAGCUAAUACCGCAUGAGCUCUCUGGUUUGCCGGAGAGGAAAGCCUGAGAGGGCGCUGACGGAGGGGCUUGCGGCCCAUCAGCUAGUUGGGGGGGUAACGGCCCACCAAGGCGACGACGGGUAGCUGGUCUGAGAGGACGGCCAGCCACA